UUCGACCUCGCCUCUCGCUCCCACGUUCGGUUUUCCCAUCCAAGCAGGGGCUUCUCCCCACGAUCGAUCCCAUGCCAUCGGAAGUCGACGCACGCACGUCCAUCUCUUGCACUCUCGUGCCCCUUCCUAGGUCGCAGCCACCAAUCUCCCCACCACUCCGGUUCUCCUUUCCACGUUGCAAUGGCUGAUCUCAUCUCCCAAUCUCGUCGUCCUCCCCGUGCCGCCGCAACGAUCUGCUGCCCCACUCUUGUUGUACUUGGUACGGUGCCGAGCUCUCCGCAGUCUGCACCAACGCACCGACGCCGGGGAAACCGGAAACCACCACCACGGCACUACCUCACUGGCGCCGCCGCUCCUCCGCUGGUUGUAGCGCAGCAACAGCGCAACGGCACGGGUGGCUUAUACUGGUGCUGGGUGCGCCGGUGUUGUCCCCUGCGCUACGCGUGUGCCGACCUGGACGAAAGGCAACGGAUCCGGGAAGCGCAACUUACACCUACACCGACCGACCGACGCGGCCUUAUCGACUGAACGACGACGGCUCAGCGACAGCACGGUCUCCUUCGACCAGGUGCUAGGACGAAAUCUCUCUGUCUUCUGCUUCUAGGUGUUUUGGUUUGCUUGCUGGAGAGGCCGAGACAAAGGCAGCUUGAGUUCCUGCGUGUGUCGUGAGCACACGAGGAUCCACCUCCUAUUUCCGAUCCUAUGUCAUGAUCACUGAGAUGUGAGGAAUCGUCGAGGGCACCAACAAAUUAAGGAAACACCAAUAUCAAAUUUGUUAACCAGAUCGACUAGCUAGAUAUCAAGAUGGAAAUGGAAUGAAGGAAUCGGGGCACUACUGUCUUGAUGUAAUAUUGUAUGUUCGUUUAUUUACUGGAAGUUUAGUUUUUUCUCUCCUCUGAGGAUAUAUAGUUUCACUUUUCCUCUUUCAUUGUUGAUCACAUAUAUUUUCAGACUAUGUUCACACAUGGAUUGAAGAGACAUGGUGGCUCUGACAAACAUGGGAGCUGAAUACACUUAGGCCAUGUCAAGCGCACGCGCCAACUUUAGCUUCCGGGUUGAUUUGUCACUUUUCCUGGCUGUGCCUAGGAUUUUUGUAUGCAUCGGUGCCUAAUCAGUAGUCGGGUGCCUGAACUAUAUUCUACAGUGAGCGAUGUUUAUUUUCCAGCGUGCAAAUACCUGCAACUUUGGAGUCAGGGACGCCCAGACAUGUAAGCGCCUGCAACCUGGUAUCCCGACGCGGCUGCGCUCUAUCAUGGGUGUGGACAUCCGUUUCGUCGCCUCCGACUGCCGUGAGUUCCUUACUUUCCUCCUCCACGUUUGAGAUGAGUCUCUUACUUUACUCCACUGUAUUUCUUCAUCUAAUAUAAGGAGGCAUGGGAAGUCGCCCAGUUUGUGAGCGGAAAUGCGUUCAGCAGGAGGAGCAGCUGGGACAUGGGGUUACACUUGCGUAACCUGCCAACUGUUAUUUCUAAACUAUCAAAGUAACAGAAUCAUCUGCAUUGCCCUUCAUUUUCAUUUUUUUAAACAGGUGUGUAUGCUAUUGCUGAAUCCAUGAAUAUAUAGCAUCCAAUAUACUUGAGUUGAAUACUCCAACGGCAUUACAUAUUUUCUCGACAUGUUUCUAAAGGGUAAUUAGCAGUUGUCAAUUCUACAGAUACAACAGAAUUGUAGUAGGUGUUGGAAAGAUCAUACGGUGGCCGUAACUGACGAAGGGAAGUCCUUCGCAUUUGGUGACAGCAGCCACGGCCAAUUGGGGACGGGUUCACUAAGUAGCGGUCGACUCCCUUGCCUCUUCCUUUAUAUUUAUGGUUGAUAGAUGACACUACUAGAAGUGCAGCAAAUACAAAUUAUAUUGCCACCCAUUCUUAUAAUAUACCUGUUUGGGUGGUAACGAAACAAAAAAAAUUAUGCCAUGAGCAUUUGUAACUUAUAUUGUCCAGGACGAUGGGGUGUAGUUCUAUUUAUUGGAAUUGGACCACAUAGGAAGAUCAUUUUCCUCUGCUGGGUUCUAACACUGCUGUUAUUUUUGUGCUGUCCCUGACUAUGUGUUGUUCUGUAUUUGGUGCAGGAACUAAGGUGUUGCCAGUCCCUCUCCUUUGUUACUAAAGCUACUAAUGUUGUUUGCGGUGCUGACUUUACUCUCUGGCUGGUAAUCAUUUUUUAUUUGAUGCCCAUAUCUUAACCAUUUUGUAUUUGCAAGAUCACUCCUUAAUGCAAAGAGGGCAGAGAGAUGAUUUUAAGGAUACUUUUGUCAAAGGAGAAUGUUGACAAAAACAUUGAACACGAGGAGCUUGCAACCAUGAUGGAGGAUACAUCGGCGGUGAGAAGAAUCAUCUUUGCAUGGUUCUCUUACCACCCUGCCCCUGAGCUCCUGAAGAAAGAUAGCUGAGAGAGAUGAAAGAAGUGAACACAUAGGAUCCUACGCCAAAGGAUGAGGAGGAAGUGGCGAAAGAGGGUGCAUGGAGGAGGACAGGUAUAUGGGGGAAGCUGAUCUGAUGGCUGCAAAGAUUGAAGGAGAAGGCUAGCACAGGACACAUUUUGGAGCGUCUAGACAGACACAUCGCGAGUCAAACCUUUGGGGAUUUAAGUGAGGGUGGUUCUGUCUUUUCCUCCCUUCAAUGACUAAAGAUAGAUGAUUAGGGAAAUUUUGUCGAUUACCAUGGAUUAUGGCCCAUUUUGAAUAGCGUAAAACAAACGUGAUAUCUUGAGGCUCUCAUACUUUCAA